UACGGGGGGAGCAAGCGUUGUUCGGAUUUACUGGGCGUAAAGGGCGCGUAGGCGGCCUCCGCAAGUCAAUUGUGAAAUCUCCGGGCUUAACUCGGAAAGGUCAACUGAUACUGCGGGGCUAGAGUGCGGAAGGGGCAACUGGAAUUCUCGGUGUAGCGGUGAAAUGCGUAGAUAUCGAGAGGAACACCUGCGGCGAAGGCGGGUUGCUGGGCCGACACUGACGCUGAUGCGCGAAAGCCAGGGGAGCGAACGGG
rnacentral:rRNA from 1 species